rfam:Streptomyces autolyticus strain CGMCC0516, complete genome.
CUUGAUGGAGCCGAGCAGCAGCGGCCGUUCGGUGUCCCGCUCCUGGCCGUAUGUAGCGAGCAGGGCCUGCGCCUC